AUUGAACGCUGGCGGCAUGCUUUACACAUGCAAGUCGAGCGGCAGCGCGGGGGCAACCCUGGCGGCGAGCGGCGAACGGGUGAGUAAUGCAUCGGAACGUAUCCUCGAGUGGGGGAUAACCCAGCGAAAGUUGGGCUAAUACCGCAUGAGCUCUGAGGAGGAAAGCGGGGGAUCUGCGAGGGCCUCGCGCUGGAGGAGCGGCCGAUGUCCGAUUAGCUAGUUGGUGGGGUAAAGGCUUACCAAGGCGACGAUCGGUAGCUGGUCUGAGAGGAUGAUCAGCCACACUGGGACUGAGACACGGCCCAGACUCCUACGGGAGGCAGCAGUGGGGAAUUUUGGACAAUGGGGGCAACCCUGAUCCAGCCAUGCCGCGUGAGUGAAGAAGGCCUUCGGGUUGUAAAGCUCUUUCGGACGGAACGAAAUGGGCGGGACUAAUACUCCUGUCUGAUGACGGUACCGUAAGAAGAAGCACCGGCUAACUACGUG
rnacentral:rRNA from 1 species